rnacentral:lncRNA from 1 species
GUCUACAGGAACUCGAGGAAACCAAAGCUUAAUGGCAUUUUAAGAAGUUAGGUCUCAAUAGGUUGAAGGUUGAAUACACAACAGAAGACAUUUUGAGCCGGAGAAUCAGGUACGUACCUACUUAGGUUUGUCUGUUAAGGCGACGAGGGACCUCAAGAUGCCAGAAGACAUUUUAAGCCGGAGAAUCAGAUACCUACUUAGGUUUGUCUGUUAAGGCGACGAGGGACCUCAAGAUGCUAGGACUUACUCUAUCGGCAAGGGCUCCUCUUUCCGAGAUUGAGAACGACUUUUCCUUCACAUAACUCUGUAGUUUCUUCGUGUCGUAGUCCAGUCGUUCUUGGUCUACGUCAUAAAAGAGUAUAUAACUAUAGUAGCAUCAUAAAAAAUGUUAUUCGGUAAGAUGAUGCUUUUAAAGUUCAAACGAAAGAGAGAGACAACCCACAAUCAAAAUGUUAAUUGACUCGAGUAAAUAAUAAAAGAAGAAAAC